GUGGGGAAUUUUGGACAAUGGGCGAAAGCCUGAUCCAGCAAUGCCGCGUGUGUGAAGAAGGCCUUCGGGUUGUAAAGCACUUUUGGCAGGGAAGAAACAGUGCGUGCUAAUACCAUGCGCGAAUGACGGUACCUGCAGAAUAAGCACCGGCUAACUACGUGCCAGCAGCCGCGGUAAUACGUAGGGUGCAAGCGUUAAUCAGAAUUACUGGGCGUAAAGCGUGCGCAGGCGGCUUUGUAAGACGGAUGUGAAAGCCCCGGGCUCAACCUGGGAAGUGCAUUCGUGACGGCAAGGCUAGAGUGUGUCAGAGGGAGGUGGAAUUCCGCGUGUAGCAGUGAAAUGCGUAGAGAUGCGGAGGAACACCGAUGGCGAAGGCAGCCUCCUGGGAUAACACUGACGCUCAGGCACGAAAGCGUGGGGAGCAAACAGGAUUAGAAACCCUGGUAGUCC
rnacentral:rRNA from 1 species